rnacentral:rRNA from 1 species
CUUAAGCAAUGGAGAGACGCAGGAAGGUAGCCGAACCGCGGCGAUGGUUGUUCCGCGGGUAAGGGUGUAGGGCGAGGUGUAGGCAAAUCCGCACCUCAUGUGCCUGAGACCUGACACGGACCCGUAAGGGGAAGUCGGUGAUCCUAUGCUGCCAAGAAAAUCUUCUAGCGAGGUUCUAGCCGCCCGUACCCCAAACCGACUCAGGUGGUUAGGUAGAGAAUACCAAGGCGAUCGAGUGAAUCGUGGUUAAGGAAUUCGGCAAAAUACCCCCGUAACUUCGGGAGAAGGGGGGCCCAGAGGGUGACGGGACUUGCUCCCCGAGCCUGAACGGCCGCAGAGACCAGGGAGAAGCGACUGUUUACUAAAACACAGGUCCGUGCCAAGUCGCAAGACGAUGUAUACGGACUGACGCCUGCCCGGUGCUGGAACGUUAAGGGGACCGGUUAGCCUCACGGCGAAGCUGAGAACUUAAGCGCCAGUAAACGGCGGUGGUAACUAUAACCAUCCUAAGGUAGCGAAAUUCCUUGUCGGGUAAGUUCCGACCUGCACGAAUGGCGUAACGACUUCUCCACUGUCUCAACCACGAACUCGGCGAAAUUGCACUACGAGUAAAGAUGCUCGUUACGCGCAGAAGGACGGAAAGACCCCGGGACCUUUACUACAGCUUGGUAUUGGUGUUCGGUACGGCUUGUGUAGGAUAGGUGGGAGACUGUGAAGCUGACACGCCAGUGUCGGUGGAGUCAACGUUGAAAUACCACUCUGGUCGUUCUGGAUAUCUAACCUAGGUCCGUAAUCCGGAUCAGGGACAGUGCCUGGUGGGUAGUUUAACUGGGGCGGUUGCCUCCUAAAAGGUAACGGAGGCGCCCAAAGGUUCCCUCAGCCUGGUUGGCAAUCAGGUUUCGAGUGUAAGUGCACAAGGGAGCUUGACUGUGAGACUGACAAGUCGAACAGGGACGAAAGUCGGGACUAGUGAUCCGGCGGUGGCUUGUGGAAGCGCCGUCGCUCAACGGAUAAAAGGUACCCCGGGGAUAACAGGCUGAUCUUGCCCAAGAGUCCAUAUCGACGGCAUGGUUUGGCACCUCGAUGUCGGCUCGUCGCAUCCUGGGGCUGGAGUAGGUCCCAAGGGUUGGGCUGUUCGCCCAUUAAAGCGGUACGCGAGCUGGGUUUAGAACGUCGUGAGACAGUUCGGUCCCUAUCCUCUGCGCGCGCAGGAAACUUGAGGAGGGCUGUCCCUAGUACGAGAGGACCGGGAUGGACGAACCUCUGGUGUGUCAGUUGUUCUGCCAAGAGCACCGCUGAUUAGCUACGUUCGGGAGUGAUAACCGCUGAAAGCAUCUAAGCGGGAAGCAUGCUUCAAGAUGAGGUUUCCUUGGGGUUUACCCCGAGAGGCUCCCAGCUAGACUACUGGGUUGAUAGGCCGGAUGUGGAAGUGCGGUAACGCAUGGAGCUGACCGGUACUAAU